UUCGUACGUCACUGAACGGCAGCCAAUCAACGUAAAGUGCUGAAGCCUACGCUGAUUUGACGCUGGCCAGUGACGUGCGUGGUGGGCGUGUCCCGCCGUCACACGAAGAGAAACACAACACAAGCGAGAUCGAGUUGCAGGCCGAGGCAAGAUUAUAUAAUGAAAACUGAUCAUGUCUUCUCCAGAUAUUGCUUCUUUAUCCUGGGGCCACAUGAAGGUCAAAGGUUGCUCCACAUCCUACAAAGACUGUAAAGUGUGGCCGGGUGGCAGCCGAGCCUGGGGCUGGCGUGAAACCGGCACAGAUCAUUAUCCAGGCGUCCAGCCGGCCGACCUGGAAGAGGUUCUGAGGAAGGAGUGAAGCUCUACAGGUGCCUCCAUCCACCCUAGAUUACGUGAAGAAGCAGGGUGUUGAUGUCAGGGUGUUUCAGACCGAGCAGGCCGUUACAGAAUAUAAUGCUCUGGUGGGACAGGGAGCUAAAGUCGGCGGGGUCUUCCACUCCACCUGCUGAUCACAUCAUUAAAAUAAUCAGCUAAUUCAUUUAAUUGGUUGUUUAAAGUGC